UUGUGGAGGAGGACGCCGAAGGUGGGGCUGAUGACUGGGGUGAAGUCGUAACAAGGUAGCCGUACCGGAAGGUGCGGCUGGAUCACCUCCUAACAGGGAGACAUAAACUGAUCUUGGAUGUCUUAGUUUUUUAUGCUUAGGCCAAGAUCCUGUCACCUUAGGUCGAUCGGUACCUCAGGUUAAAAGCUCAAUUAGAAUUGAGAAUUCAAUUUUAGAUUGAUAAUUAACAUCAGUUCCUAAACUUGUCUAGGUCACACCCAGCAAGGGUAAUCCUGGGCCAUUAGCUCAGGUGGUUAGAGCGCACCCCUGAUAAGGGUGAGGUCCCUGGUUCAAGUCCAGGAUGGCCCAUUCGGUGUUGGGGGUAUAGCUCAGUUGGUAGAGCGCCUGCUUUGCAAGCAGGAUGUCAGCGGUUCGAGUCCGCUUACCUCCACUGAUCUACCUUCUGAUAACGAACUCGAGGAAGAUUACUUUUGUAUGAUGUGACUUAGAUUUGGUUAGCUGUUUGAACCUAGCUUCUUGUCAUCCCUUUAUUAAUAAGAAAUUAAAUAGAGGUUGAUAUGAUGCUGGGCUCUCUGAAAUUCGAAAGGAUUUCGGAUAAGUUCAGUAGAACCUUGACAACUGCAUAGGUAAGUUUGGAAAGAAUAAAGCAUCUCAUGGAGGCGUUAUUCUUUAAAUACAGAAUAAAUCUGUAUUAUUAGAAUAAUGCUUAAAUUCUUGAGUAAGAGCCGAGACUCUAUAGCGCUUAGCGUUAUAGAGAUAAAUGGUCAAGCUACAA
rnacentral:misc_RNA from 1 species